UCCCGUGUGCUCAAUCGGUUUAGAGCGUCUGACUCUACGCAGAUCAAUCAGAGGUUGCGAGUUCGAGUCUCGCCAUGGAGG
rnacentral:tRNA from 1 species